rnacentral:lncRNA from 1 species
UCUAAAGUACUUCUGGUUUCCUUGCAAGUCUGGCCUAGAGGUAAAUAACAUCUUAUUAAAUGAUUUAAUAUGAAAGCAUAUUGAUACAAAGUAGCAUUCUUAGUUUGGGGUAAAGUGCAGCAGCAACUCAGACUCCUCAUGAACAGCUGUGAUGUACAGGUCAACCCAGACUCCUCAUUAACAGCUGUGAUAUACAGGUCAACCCAGACUCCUCAUUAACAGCUGUGAUAUACAGGUCAACCCAGACUCCUCAUUAACAGCUGUGAUGUACAGGUCAACCCAGACUCCUCAUUAACAGCUGUGAUAUACAGGUCAACCCAGACUCCUCAUUAACAGCUGUGAUGUACAGGUCAACCCAGACUCCUCAUUAACAGCUGUGAUGUACAGGUCAACACCUUCCCAUUGGGCAAAAACUGGUUGAAUCAAAGUUUUUUUCACAUAAUUUAAAACAAAAAAUCCAAUGUGACGACAUAAGAAAAUGAAACCUAAAUCCAAUGAUAUGGUGACAUUUAUUGCUGAUUUUACAUUGCGUUCAAGUCAGUUGACAACUCAACCAAAUGUAAAUCAAAACUAGAUUUUGAGAUGAUGUCUGUGCCCAGUGGGUUGUGACAGGAAGUAGGGGCAAAUUAAACGGCUUGAAGGCAUCUGUGUUUGUGACAAACUCUCAGGUUGGUCUCUCUAUAAACAUGAGAGCUGUUAUCUCUCUGCUGUGUUCCGAUGCUGUGUCAUUAUAGGCCUUCGUUCUCCACAGUUAUCUCUCUGCUGUGUUCCGAUGCUGUGCCAUUAUAGGCCUUCGUUCUCCACAGUUAUCUCUCUGCUGUGUUCCGAUGCUGUGCCAUUAUAGGCCUUUGUUCUCCAGUGAAGUGUGUGUUAAUAUGCAUGUCUGUGUGUGCAUCUCUUAC